GUGGGGAAUCUUCCGCAAUGGACGAAAGUCUGACGGAGCAACGCCGCGUGAGUGAAGAAGGUUUUCGGAUCGUAAAGCUCUUUCGUUAGGGACGAACGUGCUCUUUGUGAAUAAUGAGGAGUAAUGACGGUACCUAAAUAAGAAGCCACGGCUAACUACGUGCCAGCAGCCGCGGUAAUACGUAGGUGGCAAGCGUUGGCCGGAAUUAUUGGGCGUAAAGCGCGCGCAGGCGGGAUAUCAAGUCUGUCUUAAAAGUGAGAGGCUCAACCUCGUGAGGGGACAGAAACUGGUAUUCUUGGGUGUCGGAGAGGAAAGUGGAAUUCCAAGUGUAGCGGUGAAAUGCGUAGAGAUUUGGAAGAACACCAGUGGCGAAGGCGACUUUCUGGACGAUGUCUGACGCUGAGGCGCGAAAGCUAGGGGAGCGAACGGGAUUAGAAACCCGUGUAGUCC
rnacentral:rRNA from 1 species